AUUGAACGCUGGCGGCAUGCCUUACACAUGCAAGUCGAACGCGAAAGGGGGCAACCCCGAGUAGAGUGGCGAACGGGUGAGCAAUACAUCGGAACAUUUCCUGUAGCGGGGGACAACCUCGAGAAAUCGAGGCUAAUACCGCAUACGAUCUACGGAUGAAAGUGGGGGACCGCAAGGCCCCACACUAUAGGAGUGGCCGAUGCCGGAUUAGCUAGUUGGUGGGGUAACGGCCUACCAAGGCGACGAUCCGUAGCUGGUCUGAGAGGACGA
rnacentral:rRNA from 1 species